GGGUUGUGAGGUUAAGCGACUAAGCGUACACGGUGGAUGCCCUGGCAGUCAGAGGCGAUGAAGGACGUGCUAAUCUGCGAUAAGCGUCGGUAAGGUGAUAUGAACCGUUAUAACCGGCGAUUUCCGAAUGGGGAAACCCAGUGUGUUUCGACACACUAUCAUUAACUGAAUCCAUAGGUUAAUGAGGCGAACCGGGGGAACUGAAACAUCUAAGUACCCCGAGGAAAAGAAAUCAACCGAGAUUCCCCCAGUAGCGGCGAGCGAACGGGGAGCAGCCCAGAGCCUGAAUCAGUGUGUGUGUUAGUGGAAGCGUCUGGAAAGGCGCGCGAUACAGGGUGACAGCCCCGUACACAAAAAUGCACAUGCUGUGAGCUCGAUGAGUAGGGCGGGACACGUGGUAUCCUGUCUGAAUAUGGGGGGACCAUCCUCCAAGGCUAAAUACUCCUGACUGACCGAUAGUGAACCAGUACCGUGAGGGAAAGGCGAAAAGAACCCCGGCGAGGGGAGUGAAAAAGAACCUGAAACCGUGUACGUACAAGCAGUGGGAGCACGCUUAGGCGUGUGACUGCGUACCUUUUGUAUAAUGGGUCAGCGACUUAUAUUCUGUAGCAAGGUUAACCGAAUAGGGGAGCCGAAGGGAAACCGAGUCUUAACUGGGCGUUAAGUUGCAGGGUAUAGACCCGAAACCCGGUGAUCUAGCCAUGGGCAGGUUGAAGGUUGGGUAACACUAACUGGAGGACCGAACCGACUAAUGUUGAAAAAUUAGCGGAUGACUUGUGGCUGGGGGUGAAAGGCCAAUCAAACCGGGAGAUAGCUGGUUCUCCCCGAAAGCUAUUUAGGUAGCGCCUCGUGAAUUCAUCUCCGGGGGUAGAGCACUGUUUCGGCAAGGGGGUCAUCCCGACUUACCAACCCGAUGCAAACUGCGAAUACCGGAGAAUGUUAUCACGGGAGACACACGGCGGGUGCUAACGUCCGUCGUGAAGAGGGAAACAACCCAGACCGCCAGCUAAGGUCCCAAAGUCAUGGUUAAGUGGGAAACGAUGUGGGAAGGCCCAGACAGCCAGGAUGUUGGCUUAGAAGCAGCCAUCAUUUAAAGAAAGCGUAAUAGCUCACUGGUCGAGUCGGCCUGCGCGGAAGAUGUAACGGGGCUAAACCAUGCACCGAAGCUGCGGCAGCGACACUAUGUGUUGUUGGGUAGGGGAGCGUUCUGUAAGCCUGUGAAGGUGUGCUGUGAGGCAUGCUGGAGGUAUCAGAAGUGCGAAUGCUGACAUAAGUAACGAUAAAGCGGGUGAAAAGCCCGCUCGCCGGAAGACCAAGGGUUCCUGUCCAACGUUAAUCGGGGCAGGGUGAGUCGACCCCUAAGGCGAGGCCGAAAGGCGUAGUCGAUGGGAAACAGGUUAAUAUUCCUGUACUUGGUGUUACUGCGAAGGGGGGACGGAGAAGGCUAUGUUGGCCGGGCGACGGUUGUCCCGGUUUAAGCGUGUAGGCUGGUUUUCCAGGCAAAUCCGGAAAAUCAAGGCUGAGGCGUGAUGACGAGGCACUACGGUGCUGAAGCAACAAAUGCCCUGCUUCCAGGAAAAGCCUCUAAGCAUCAGGUAACAUCAAAUCGUACCCCAAACCGACACAGGUGGUCAGGUAGAGAAUACCAAGGCGCUUGAGAGAACUCGGGUGAAGGAACUAGGCAAAAUGGUGCCGUAACUUCGGGAGAAGGCACGCUGAUAUGUAGGUGAAGUCCCUCGCGGAUGGAGCUGAAAUCAGUCGAAGAUACCAGCUGGCUGCAACUGUUUAUUAAAAACACAGCACUGUGCAAACACGAAAGUGGACGUAUACGGUGUGACGCCUGCCCGGUGCCGGAAGGUUAAUUGAUGGGGUUAGCGCAAGCGAAGCUCUUGAUCGAAGCCCCGGUAAACGGCGGCCGUAACUAUAACGGUCCUAAGGUAGCGAAAUUCCUUGUCGGGUAAGUUCCGACCUGCACGAAUGGCGUAAUGAUGGCCAGGCUGUCUCCACCCGAGACUCAGUGAAAUUGAACUCGCUGUGAAGAUGCAGUGUACCCGCGGCAAGACGGAAAGACCCCGUGAACCUUUACUAUAGCUUGACACUGAACAUUGAGCCUUGAUGUGUAGGAUAGGUGGGAGGCUUUGAAGUGUGGACGCCAGUCUGCAUGGAGCCGACCUUGAAAUACCACCCUUUAAUGUUUGAUGUUCUAACGUGGACCCGUGAUCCGGGUUGCGGACAGUGUCUGGUGGGUAGUUUGACUGGGGCGGUCUCCUCCUAAAGAGUAACGGAGGAGCACGAAGGUUGGCUAAUCCUGGUCGGACAUCAGGAGGUUAGUGCAAUGGCAUAAGCCAGCUUGACUGCGAGCGUGACGGCGCGAGCAGGUGCGAAAGCAGGUCAUAGUGAUCCGGUGGUUCUGAAUGGAAGGGCCAUCGCUCAACGGAUAAAAGGUACUCCGGGGAUAACAGGCUGAUACCGCCCAAGAGUUCAUAUCGACGGCGGUGUUUGGCACCUCGAUGUCGGCUCAUCACAUCCUGGGGCUGAAGUAGGUCCCAAGGGUAUGGCUGUUCGCCAUUUAAAGUGGUACGCGAGCUGGGUUUAGAACGUCGUGAGACAGUUCGGUCCCUAUCUGCCGUGGGCGCUGGAGAACUGAGGGGGGCUGCUCCUAGUACGAGAGGACCGGAGUGGACGCAUCACUGGUGUUCGGGUUGUCAUGCCAAUGGCACUGCCCGGUAGCUAAAUGCGGAAGAGAUAAGUGCUGAAAGCAUCUAAGCACGAAACUUGCCCCGAGAUGAGUUCUCCCUGACUCCUUGAGAGUCCUGAAGGAACGUUGAAGACGACGACGUUGAUAGGCCGGGUGUGUAAGCGCAGCGAUGCGUUGAGCUAACCGGUACUAAUGAACCGUGAGGCUUAACCUUACAACGCCGAAGGUGUUU
rnacentral:rRNA from 1 species